rnacentral:rRNA from 1 species
GGCCUAACACAUGCAAGUCGAACGGUAACAGGAAGCAGCUUGCUGCUUCGCUGACGAGUGGCGGACGGGUGAGUAAUGUCUGGGAAACUGCCUGAUGGAGGGGGAUAACUACUGGAAACGGUAGCUAAUACCGCAUAACGUCGCAAGACCAAAGAGGGGGACCUUCGGGCCUCUUGCCAUCGGAUGUGCCCAGAUGGGAUUAGCUAGUAGGUGGGGUAACGGCUCACCUAGGCGACGAUCCCUAGCUGGUCUGAGAGGAUGACCAGCCACACUGGAACUGAGACACGGUCCAGACUCCUACGGGAGGCAGCAGUGGGGAAUAUUGCACAAUGGGCGCAAGCCUGAUGCAGCCAUGCCGCGUGUAUGAAGAAGGCCUUCGGGUUGUAAAGUACUUUCAGCGGGGAGGAAGGGAGUAAAGUUAAUACCUUUGCUCAUUGACGUUACCCGCAGAAGAAGCACCGGCUAACUCCGUGCCAGCAGCCGCGGUAAUACGGAGGGUGCAAGCGUUAAUCGGAAUUACUGGGCGUAAAGCGCACGCAGGCGGUUUGUUAAGUCAGAUGUGAAAUCCCCGGGCUCAACCUGGGAACUGCAUCUGAUACUGGCAAGCUUGAGUCUCGUAGAGGGGGGUAGAAUUCCAGGUGUAGCGGUGAAAUGCGUAGAGAUCUGGAGGAAUA